CACCGAUAUGAUGAUAAGCUGUUCGGAAAUUCUAUGUGUCGACUUACAAAUUCAGACUACAAUUAUCUGAUCGGUG